CUCAGAAUCAACGCUGGCGGCGUGCCUAACACAUGCAAGUCGAACGAGAAAGUGGGAGCAAUCCCUGAGUAAAGUGGCGCACGGGUGAGUAACACGUGACUAACCUACCCUGGAGUGGGGGAUAACUGAGGGAACCCUUAGCUAAUACCGCAUAACACCUACGGGUCAAAGGAGCAAUUCGCUUCAGGAGGGGGUCGCGGCCGAUUAGUUAGUUGGCGGGGUAAUGGCCCACCAAGACAGUGAUCGGUAUCCGGCCUGAGAGGGCGCACGGACACACUGGAACUGAAACACGGUCCAGACUCCUACGGGAGGCAGCAGUGGGGAAUUUUGCGCAAUGGGGGAAACCCUGACGCAGCAACGCCGCGUGGAGGAUGAAGUACUUCGGUACGUAAACUCCUUUCGAUCGGGACGAUAAUGACGGUACCGGAAGAAGAAGCCCCGGCUAACUUCGUGCCAGCAGCCGCGGUAAUACGGGGGGGGCAAGCGUUGUUCGGAAUUAUUGGGCGUAAAGAGUUCGUAGGCGGCAUGUCAAGUCUGGUGUGAAAGCCCUCGGCUCAACCGAGGAAUUGCGCCCAAAACUACCGGGCUUGAGGAAGAUAGAGGUAAGCGGAACUUAGGGUGGAGCGGUGAAAUGCGUUGAUAUCCUAAGGAACACCAGGAGCGAAAGCGGCUUACUGGGUCUUUUCUGACGCUGAGGCACGAAAGCUAGGGGAGCGAACGGGAUUAGAUACCCCGGUAGUCCUAGCCGUAAACGAUGAGCACUGGGUUGGAGGGUCUCCCAUAACCCUCUAGCCGUAGCGAAAGUGUUAAGUGCUCCGCCUGGGGAGUAUGGUCGCAAGGCUGAA
rnacentral:rRNA from 1 species